rnacentral:rRNA from 1 species
CCUACGGGUGGCAGCAGUGAGGAAUAUUGGUCAAUGGGCGAGAGCCUGAACCAGCCAAGUCGCGUGAGGGAAGACGGUCCUACGGAUUGUAAACCUCUUUUGUCAGGGAGCAAGGAGCGCCACGAGUGGUGCGGCGAGAGUACCUGAAGAAAAAGCAUCGGCUAACUCCGUGCCAGCAGCCGCGGUAAUACGGAGGAUGCGAGCGUUAUCCGGAUUUAUUGGGUUUAAAGGGAGCGUAGGCGGGUUGUUAAGUCAGUUGUGAAAGUUUGCGGCUCAACCGUAAAAUUGCAGUUGAUACUGGCAUCCUUGAGUACAGUAGAGGUAGGCGGAAUUCGUGGUGUAGCGGUGAAAUGCUUAGAUAUCACGAAGAACUCCGAUUGCGAAGGCAGCCUGCUGGACUGUAACUGACGCUGAUGCUCGAAAGUGUGGGUAUCAAACAGGAUUAGAUACCCGUGUAGUC